UACUGUUGGAGAAGGAAAUCGCCAGUGCUGUAAGAGGAAAAGACCCUAUCGAAAUGCUUAUGUUGGGACUGUCGAUCUAUUGGAAGUCUUAUAAUGAAUACUUGAUUUGUUUAUAUAUAAGAUCCUUUUAGCACCUACAUAAUUUUAAGCACAGGCUUGUGUCCUUUGCUGAAUGAGCAGCUGGAUCUGAGUUGGCCAGGCAGAAGAUACCUUCUGGAUAAAGGAAUGAAAUAUUUAUUGAUCAUGCGCAUUGUCUCUUUAGCCUCACAUUGCCUUCACGUUGAAGACAACAUGGCAAUUUGUUGAAGGAGAAGAAAUAUAUUUUUGAUUUGUUCCAGGCAGUAAAGAAGCUUUACAAGGCUCUCGGCAAUUGUUCAAGUGUAUCAUACCAUUUGUGAUGGCUUUAUAAACUAAGCGUAGCUUGAGAGAGUCGAGGGUGAGUCAGCCUGAAAGAAAACAUAUAAUUAAUAUUGUACUGUAAAUGAUUUGGGAGUGAGAUUAUCCAUGAAAAUCGGAGCUAUUACCCGGCUGUGCAUAAUGAAUGGUGGUUGGGGUGGGUAAAUGGAGAGUUGAAAGAGAGAAAAACUGUGUUUAAGAUGAAAGCUGCUUUCAGUGAAGACAGGAUCAUAGCAAAAAUGUAACAGGAGAAGUGAAAUAUAAUUAGGAACGUGACAUUAAUACUGGAUUUGCAGAAUGUUGCCUAACAGGUGGGUGGAGUUUAUUUGACUUUGUUUCAGCUGGGGUAUUGAAUCACACAGAUGCAGUCUUUAAAAUUAUUUUAGACUGUGAGAAAAAAGGUAACAAGAAUGUUCAAAUACAUGAGCUCCCACCAUCAGCAUGUGUCCUCGCUCUUUCUCUUCCAGCUGUAAUAAUCACCUCCCAGUUAAGAUGGUUCUUGCUCUUCCUCUGUCACUCCUUGUUUCUGCAGCUCUGCACUGGAAAGCAGAGGGGAUAUUGGGUUUCCUUUCAUCACAAUGACAAGCUGGGGAAACAUCUGGUUUGAACAAAAUGUGCAAAAGGUUUGAAAAGGAAUUAAGUUUGUUUUUUUUUUUUGCAUUUUUUGUUUAUGCCUGUUAGACACUUAUUUUUAUUAAAAUAAAAUUUAUGAGUAUAAUAUGAAGGAAAGACAGUUAAAAGAUCAAAUUGUGUAGUAAUCAGGGAGGAAACCUAUGAAAGGCAAAAUGUCCACCAGAAUGGACAACAUGAGUCGCUUUCUGGAUGCCAGGAUGGAAGCGUCAAUAUAGAAACAUUUGUUUCAGUUUAUGAACUUUUUUGCAGUCCAGCUAAAAUAUCAGCACCACCUGUGAUAUGAGCAUCAGAUUUAUUAUCAGCUUCUCAGGAAUUGCAAAACAGCCUAACUCCACCCGACUGUUAAUAAAUCAGGUGCUGAAAGCACUUCAAAUGAGAACCUUGCUGAAGAGACAAGUAACUCAUGAGGAUCAAAGGCUCAAGUCAGUUAAACUGGCCAUUUGCCCUUUUGGCAUAAUCAAAAUGUAUUUUCGAAAAAGAAGAAAUGACAAAAAAAAAAAGAAAAAAUCACGGGACAUCGUGUUUCUAUCAGACUAAGACAAAUAUUAAAGUGAGAGUGGGCAUCAGUAAUUCACUCUGAUUCUGCAAAACUGAGUUUUAUAAUGUGGCAGAAUCAGUAAAGCUUACAGAUUUGAUCCAAAGCCCACUAAAGCCAUCGAAAAAGAGUAUUUCUUUUUCUUUCACUGGCUUGGAUCUGGCUGUUGGGAGCUGCUCACUUUGGACAACAAGCGUCUGCUCUCUAGUGAAGCUGACUUGUCUUUUCACUUUGUUCCCCUGUACUCUUACACACAUGCUGAAAAUAAACUGAAAGCCAGGCUUCUGAUGAAAGAAACUGCCUGAAAAAUAUUGCAAUACCCAGCUUCCUGGAUUAAUUAAUAAAAUUACUUGCUCAUCCACAUAGAUUAUAUGCUGGGCGUUUAGCUGGUAUGCUCUAGGGAAGAGGUGAGAGGAAAGUUCAAAAGUGGGUGGAGGUGUAAGGGAGAGAGAGGAGAACACAGAUUAAGAAAUAUUGGGAAUAUCAAUUCAUGAUUGCAGGAGUAUUUUUUAAAUGCUUCAUAUUCCGCUGAUUUGCAUGAAUAGCAUUGGUGUGGCUAAUCAGCUGAAACUGUCAGGGACAUUAACACUGGAAGCUUUACAGGAGCUAUAUUUUCACAAGCUCUAACUCCUUUUUUUUUUUCCCCAUUUGCAGUGGGCAGAAACUGUAGAGAUUUUAUUGUUCAGCAUCAGCGAGUGUCCACUUCUGUUUGAGUUUCCUCUUUCUUUCCUGUGUCCUCUUACUGGUGGUCUGCAGUACUGGUUGUUAGGAACUGGUGUUUUUUCUUUUUCUGGAUGACUGUUCAAGUCAGAAAGAGAAUGAGGAAGCAUUUUUGGAUGAUCAUGUAUCCAAGUGGCAUCCUGGAAGGGGUCUUUAUACCAGGGUAAAUAUGGGCUCCACAGGUGUGUUGCCCUUGGUAGAUGAUGCAUUGACCUUCCCACACUCGGUAGCAAAGCAAAUGUGAGUCACAAACAGUAGUGUGGGUGGAAAUGGUGUUUCAGAGGAAUUAACACUUUCAGGCUUGCAGGUGUAAUGCUGAGGGAUAAAAGCUCUCUUUCACCUGGGUAGCCAGGUGCAGUGCCACUGAUCUGAGCAGACUUAUGGUCCUGGGUUACAGGCGGUGCAGGAGGGACACCAGUCACAUUCCCGUGCUGGUGAUGUAGACCUGAAGUGCAUGCAGAAGUGGGCGACUCACCAGUGCUAGAGCAGAGCGCUUCUGCCAUGGGACUGCACCAUGUGUCCUCUUCCACCGGCUGCUGUGGGUGACACAGCUUCUCUGGCUUUACAUUUCCAGCUACCAAAUGGAAAACACCAUCACUCCAUGGUGCAAAACACUGAUCCCAUAUAUCCUGAUGUCACAGGUCUAAGUUUGUUCACCAUUUUGGAAGGCUGGAAAGAAGCUGGCACAAGCUCACAUCACGUGCUGUAUCUAAUUUGGCAGGAGCAGUCACAUGUCCACAGUGUGAUCUGUAUCAGAUUUGUAUGGCUGAGUCAUCUGGUAUCAAUUCCUGUGAAGGCUCCAUCGCUGCAGACUCUCACAUGUUCCUGGAGCCCCCACUCCCGUCUUUAACUCACUUAUCGCAGUUCUGCCAUAGCCCUGCUCCUCCGCCACCGCCCCAAUUCACCCAACACCUCUUCUGUAGCUCAGGAACUUCUUUUCCCAAACACACAAGUCACCUCAUCCUGGACUCAGCAGUCCAGUAAGUCACACAAGCUUUGUAAACAAUUCCUGAACCUCUCAUUCUUUGCUGUUGACAGCAUAAGAAAUCAAAUGUUGUCGAUACCUCCCUUCUUCUACUUUGAGAAGUCCAUAACUUUGCCUCCCUUUUCCACAGCCUCUUGCGAAGAGGUCAGAGAAAAUUGUUUCUUAUCAAGCCGCUUCCUUCUCUUCUCAUCUGAAAACCAUUGUUCUGGUCAUCACCACACCAUCCUCUGUGUCUACGCCCGGCUCCUCCACCCGCAAGAGGUAAUGAGCAACAGCCAAAGACAUAACCAUGUUUUCACAAAAUGUGGAUGGAAAUUGGACAUUGGAGCCAGGCCACCAGGUUAUCAGCCAACCUCUCACUGAAGGUGGUUGGAAACUGUCGAAAUGUGAAGAAAUAACAAGAAACAAAUAUCUACAGGAGUCAUUAGUCCAUCAGUGACCUCAUGCUCUUUUAACAAGACUUGGUGAUUUCAGGCUAGCCAGGUUUAAGAUCUUAAUCUGCAAACAAGAUCUCCACCUGUCUCAUGGUUUUCUUUGGAGACCUUCCAGCGCUGACCAGUCUUGACCUGGUUUGACUUAAGGAUGAACUCUGCUCUGUGAAUGCCAAGACAGACAGAAGAGAGUGGGAGAUCCUUCCCACUCCCCCCAGGCUGGGAUUCGGGGCACAGGACACACUUUCUUAUUGCUUCCCACACCUGACUUGUGUUCUGCAUCACUUGUGGAGUCUCACAACCAUCUCUUCGUGGCCUGGAUCAGGAACAGAAAAGCGUUCUCUGGAAUGAUUGCCGGCCAUUGUAAGCAACAGCUCUGAGCUGCCACGUAGGGCUGCGUUUGAACCGGUGACCUAGGAACAAAAUAAAUUAUGUGCAGGCUGAGGUACGGAGAUGGUGAGUGACAGAAGAAUAGUGCUCAGAAACGGUUUUCAAGAGAUUCUGUAUUCAUUUAAGUAAUGUAACUGUUUAGCCAAUUUAUUCAUUUGACAAGUUCCUUUCUAACCAUCCUAAUUCACCAUUUAGCCUAAGAUGGCCUUCAUUAGUUUAUUAGAUAUUCAUUGAAAGAGAUUUCAGCAUAAAUACAGUUCCAGAGAGGAUUACCGCCCAGGGAAUCUAUUCUUUUAACCGACUUAUUCGGCUAUCGAAUAUUUGUUGAAAUGGACUCGUAUUUACUUAGUCUCCUAAUGAAGUCUAGAAAAGCUUUUCUGCAAAGGGAAUAUUGUUUUGUCAAAAUUAGCUUACUUAAAUAGUUUUCAAAGCAGUCUGAGAACAAAGAUUUCAAAGCUCCAGCUCCAGCCUAAUAUUUACUUUUUACACUGUACAGUAGUUUAGACUUGCCAGGAAAAGUGCACUUGCUUUUUUGUUUUGUUUUGUUUAAAUUUCUCUGCUUCUAGUUGUGAGAUAUAUAUAUGUCAUUUCUAGGGGUAUGGAACUAAUUGAGGAAUAUGUCCUGCCCUUGUUGAGGUGAACAGGGCAGAUAAAUAAAAACUCCAUUGGACAUAAAUCUCUUCUGCUAACAUCAAAGAAACAGGAUCCUGCUAAGUGUAUUUGUAUAAUGCAGUAAUUUAUGCAAAAAGCAGCUUUUGUCAGCAAUGCAACAAAGCAGCUUUGAUAAAUGUCCCCUAAUUUAUUGUCAUGUAUCUCAAAUCAAAGUAAAACAUUUACAGCCUGCAUACUGAAGGAACCCAGGCCCAGGGUACUUAAAGGGUUUCUCUCCCUUUCCAUCUCCCCCUCCCUUUUUUUAAAAAAAGUACAAAAAGCUAAGUUGGUCAAAAGGUUAAAAAGGAUCUGUUUUGAAUGCUAAGUACUUUAUACAAAUUAUGAGGAAAAAAUAAUAAUGAAGCUGCUUAAAGACUGACAGAAAAGCCUGUACAAAUUCAGAUUAAAAAAUCCACUUAGCUUUUCUCUUAUGGGUGCUGUUUGACGAAUCAUAAUGUGGACGCUAAUUGGGUUUUACAGGGACAAUUCCAGUUUCUCAGAUUUUGAAGGAAUAAAAUGGUGAGUGUAGAUGGUGGCUGUUGAGAGUCUGUGCUUCUCAUCUGCAUAUUCUUCUGAGUCUUUCAUAUUCAUGGCACAUUUUGGAAGUUGGAUCAAGUGUGAGUUGUGGGGGGAACUUUUACUACUGACUUCAGGGGGGAAAAUCACACCUUAGAAGACGAGAAGGCCAAUAGCACCACAAGCUCCAUCCCCACUGAAGGGCUGAUGGUACUUCAUGGCGCAGAAAUGUGUUGACUUUUCUCCCUACUUACUGGG